rnacentral:miRNA from 1 species
AGAGGUUGCCUUUGGUGAAUUC